rnacentral:rRNA from 1 species
GACGAACGCUGGCGGCGUGCUUAACACAUGCAAGUCGAACGGAAAGGCCCUGCUUUUGUGGGGUGCUCGAGUGGCGAACGGGUGAGUAACACGUGAGUAACCUGCCCUUGACUUUGGGAUAACUUCAGGAAACUGGGGCUAAUGCCGGAUAGGAGCUCCUGCUGCAUGGUGGGGGUUGGAAAGUUUCGGCGGUUGGGGAUGGACUCGCGGCUUAUCAGCUUGUUGGUGGGGUAGUGGCUUACCAAGGCUUUGACGGGUAGCCGGCCUGAGAGGGUGACCGGCCACAUUGGGACUGAGAUACGGCCCAGACUCCUACGGGAGGCAGAAGUGGGGAAUAUUGCACAGUGGGCGGAAGCCUGAUGCAGCAACGCCGCGUGCGGGAUGACGGCCUUCGGGGUGUGAACCGCUUUCGCCUGUGACGAAGCGUGAGUGACGGUAAUGGGUAAAGAAGCACCGGCUAACUACGUG